rnacentral:rRNA from 1 species
UACAGAGGUGGCAAGCGUUGUUCGGAAUUACUGGGCGUAAAGGGCGCGUAGGCGGCCUUCUAAGUCAGACGUGAAAUCCCCCGGCUUAACCUGGGAACUGCGUCUGAUACUGGGGGGCUUGAAUGCGGGAGAGGGAUGUAGAAUUCCAGGUGUAGCGGUGAAAUGCGUAGAUAUCUGGAGGAAUACCGGUGGCGAAGGCGGCAUCCUGGACCGACAUUGACGCUGAGGCGCGAAAGCUAGGGUAGCAAACGGG